GACGAACGCUGGCGGCGUGCUUAACACAUGCAAGUCGAACGGAAAGGCCCUGCUUGCAGGGUACUCGAGUGGCGAACGGGUGAGUAACACGUGGGUGAUCUGCCCUGCACUUCGGGAUAAGCCUGGGAAACUGGGUCUAAUACCGGAUAGGAGCCAUUUUUAGUGUGAUGGUUGGAAAGUUUUUUCGGUGUAGGAUGAGCUCGCGGCCUAUCAGCUUGUUGGUGGGGUAAUGGCCUACCAAGGCGGCGACGGGUAGCCGGCCUGAGAGGGUGGACGGCCAAAUUGGGAAUGAGGUACGGCCCAGACUCCUACGGGAGGCAGCAGUGGGGAAGAUUGCACAAUGGGCGCAAGCCUGAUGCAGCGACGCCGCGGGGGGGAUGACGGCCUUCGGGUUGUAAACUCCUUUCGCUAGGGACGAAGCUUUUUGUGACGGUACCUAGAUAAGAAGCACCGGCUAACUACGUG
rnacentral:rRNA from 1 species